rnacentral:lncRNA from 1 species
AAAAAAGGUGUUCUUUAUAAAAAUUACUUAUAUAUACUAACUUUAAAGUACAAUAUGCUAGAGUCAAACAAGCACUUCCCAAAAUUUGCAGACAACUGGACUUGGGUGACUGUUAGUGAAAAAGGAUCCCCCACUAAAAGGACAGGGAGCCACUCCCUCCACUCCUCCCCCACCCAGGAGAUGCAGCAGGUGCCCUGGGAGGCCUUCAGGGGAAAAGCCUGCAUUUGUUCACCCCAGCGUUUCCCACAAUUUCUUGACCUCAGAACACUUGUUCAAGUAGCCUCUUACACCGCAUGGAACACGCUCUGGGCAAUACUGACUCCUUAGUAUAGUUCCCCCGAGGCACCACCCUUCUGGGACUGGGAUUGAGCACUUUAAUCCUGACUUUCUCUUGGGAAAGCCUUUUCUCAGUAAUUUGGCAAAGCAGAAAUAUUAAUAAUCAUACUCUUCCUUCCUGUCCUCUCUUCUGCUUCCAUCUUUCUCUUGGAAAUGUUAAAAAAAAAAUGGGGAGAAGGGAGUAAUAGCUGCUGGUGUCACUGCAAAUCUUCCUGCAGUUCCUGCUGCCUGGUGCGCAAAAGCUGGAUAGCACCUGCCCUAUCCACCUAAGGAAAGGUGACGUGGAGUGGACGGUCCCCUUUUUAGGGUGCAAGAGUAUCUGUAUGUGAAUAGCAUAGAAAGAUGACUGGAAGCCUGCUGAGUAAAACAACAGUGAUUAUCCCUGGCUGGUAGAAUUUGGAGUGACUUCUACUUUCUCUUGUUCUUUUCUAUUCUGAUUGGAUUUGUCAAUGAGUAUGUACUCUUUUCUUUUCUCUUCUCUUCUCUUUCUUUUUUCCAGGAGAGACAGGGUUUUGCCAUGUUGGCCAGGCUGGUCUUGAACUCCUGACCUCAGCUGAUCUGCUCACCUUGGUCUUCCAAAGUGCUGGGAUUGUAGGCAUGAGCCACUGUGCCCAGCCAAGUAUGUACUUUUUAAAAAAUGAUUUUUUUAAAUAAUAAAGAAAUGUAUUAUACAUCUAUUUCCAAGCCUUCAAACAAAUAAUAAAAAGUUUAUUUAUAGCUAGCAGUCAACCUAUCCAAUGAUGUUUCUUUUGGUCAUUAAGACUGAUUCCUCUAUUAAAAUGUUUUAUUUUGUAUUCCACUUUGGUUAAUACUUAGGAGCUUGCAGUGCUCUAUAGAAAAAUGAGGCUAGACAAGGUGGUUCAUGCCUGUAAUCCCAGCACUUUGAGAGGCAGGAGGAUCGCUUGAGCCCAGGAGUUCAAGACUAACCUGGGCAAUAUAGUGAGACCCCCUUCUCUAAAACAAAACAAAAAAAGAAAAGAAAAAGAAAAAUGCAGUACAAGAUAAGUGUUAGAACAUAUGGAGAAGAUAGUAACAUAAAGCUGACAAAAAAAAACCAUCCUAGGUCCUUUUAAAAAGCUACCACCUACCUAAAAUAAUGGAAUUAUGAAUAUAUUAAAUUGUUCUGACAUCUAAAUGCAUAAUUACAAGCAAUAUGGCCUUUUCUGUAGAUCUUAAGAGUUAUUGUAAAGUACAUUCCACCAACAAAAGCCUUUUAAUAUUACAUUUAAAUCAAAAAGGUUUUAUUAUAAAUUUUUUAACGUUUAUAAACCCUAACCUUAACCCCAGCCCUAACUCUAACCCUAAGUUACAUGAGCAUAUCCAUAGCAAAUCACAGCAGGAAAAUACAUGAUAUAAAAUAGAUGAAAAUACAUAAACUAUAUGAUACAUAUAACUGCAAGGAACUUGCAUCCAGGAUAUAGAAAGAAUUCUUACAAAUCAAUAAGAAAAAUCAGAAGAAAUAGGCAAAGACUUGGAAGGGCAUUUCAAAAGAAGAAAUUCAUAUGAGUAAUAAACACGUGAAAAGUACUCAAUCUUAUUAGCAACCAGAGAAAUGCAAAUAAAGUCAUGAGAAACCACUGCCGAGCUCAGCAAAAAUUUUUAAAGUCUGGUAAUAUCAAGUGCUGAUGAGCACCUGCCCCUUGGGAGGGACUCUGGAGCAGCUGCCCUAGGCCUCAUUCUGUGUUCUUUGCUGAGCAUCACUGAAAUUCAAUUGCAGAGCUUCUGUGACAACAUCCAAGGUGUCCAUGAAGGAUGCUGAGUGCACACUUCCUUCCGGAUAACCACCCACUGCCUGUGCUGCCUUGGGGCCCACAUCUCUCUAAGUACAGCUCUGCUAGUCAGGAAAGGGGACGUGGGGACUGGCAUAUUGCUGGUGAGAAUCUUAAGCUGGGACCAGCACUUUGCAAAAUAAGUUGGCAAUAACUUAGAAGAGCUGAAGAUUCAUACACCUUACGAUCCAGCAAAUCCACUCCCACUCACCCUAGAGCUCAUGCAUGCUUGCAUCAGCACAAAAAUGAGGCACAAAAAUGUGCAGCGCAUUGUUCAUAGCAGCCCAAACUGGGAAAAACUCUGAUAUAGUUUGGAUGUUUGUCCUCUCCAAAUCUCAUGUUGAAAUUUGAUCCCCAGUGUUGGAGGUGGGGACUAGAGGGAGGUAUUUGGGUCAUGGGAAUGAAUCCCUCAUGAAUGGCUUGGGGCCAUCCCCGUGGUAAAGAGUGAGUUCUCGCUCUAUUAGUUCACAAGAGAGCUGGUUGUCUAAAAGCAUGGCACCUCUUCUGGUCACUCUCUUGCUCUCACUGUGUGACAUGCUCACUCCCUUUUGCCUUCCUUUUUGAAUGGAAGCUUCCUGAGGCUUCACCAGAAGCAGAGACAGGUGCCAUGCUUCUUAUAAAAUCUGAAGAACCGUAAAGCAAAUAAACAUUUUCUUUAUAAGUUACCCAGUCUCGGGUAUUCCUUUAGCAAAGCAAAAUGGACUAACAUGAACUCCAAUUUCAUCAGUAAAUGGUGAAAUAAAUGGAUAAAUGAUCGUAUAUCUUGAAAACACAUGCAGCACAGCACAAUAUGGCAUGAAGAUGAAUAAACCAUAGCCACACCCAAAAGCAUGAAUGCAUCUCACCAAUACCAUAUGGAAUGAAGAUGAAUGAACCGUAGCCACAGAUGCAUCUCACCAACACGACAUGGGAUGAAGACGAAUGAACCAUAGCCACACCCAGAAGCACGAGUGCAUCUCACAAACACGACAUGAGAUGAAGAUGAAUGAACUGUAGUCACACCCAAAAGCACGGAUGCAUCUCACCAACAUCAUAGGGACUGAAGAUGAAUGAAUUGUAGCCACACGCAAAAGCACAGAUGCAUCUCACCAACACCAUAUGGCAUGAAGAUGAAUAAACAAUAGCCACACCCAAAAGCAUGGAUGCAUCUCACCAACACAACAUAGGAUGAAGAUGAAUGAACCGUAGCCACACCCAAAAGCAUGGAUGCAUUUCACCAACACCAUAUGGAAUGAAGAUGAAUGAAUUGUAGCCAUACCCAAAAGCCACAUGUAUCUUACCAACACCACAUGGAAUGAAGAUGAAUGAACUGUAGCCACACCCAAAAGCAUGGAUGCCUCUCACCAACCCGUUGAGUAAAAGAGGCAAGACGUAAAAGAGCACAUUUGGUAUAAUUCGUUCAUACAAAGUACAAAAACAGCAAAACUGAGCUAUAUUUUGGGGGGAUGCAUACAUCCCCAUAUACAAAAGUGGCAAAAUUAAGAAGAAGUCAGAAAACCAUCAGGAAGGUCGGAAUAGCUGUUGUCUCUG